GGUGCGAUGGUUGUCGUCAGCUCGUGUCGUGAGAUGUGGGUUAAGUCCCGCAACGAGCGCAACCCUCGACCUUAGUUGCCAGCAUUCAGUUGGGCACUCUAAGGUGACUGCCGGCUAAAAAGUCGGAGGAAGGUGGGGAUGACGUCAAAUCAUCAUGCCCCUUAUGACCUGGGCUACACACGUGCUACAAUGGGCGGUACAAAGGGUCGCGAACCCGCGAGGGGGAGCCAAUCCCAAAAAAGCCGCUCUCAGUUCGGAUUGCAGGCUGCAACUCGCCUGCAUGAAGCCGGAAUCGCUAGUAAUCGCGGAUCAGCAUGCCGCGGUGAAUACGUUCCCGGGCCUU
rnacentral:rRNA from 1 species